rnacentral:rRNA from 1 species
AACGAACGUUGGCGGCGUGGAUGAGGCAUGCAAGUCGAACGUGAAAGCCGCAAGGUGAGUAGCGUGGCGGACGGGCGAGUAACACGUAAUCAAGCUGCCUGCGAGACGGGGAUAACUUCGGGAAACCGAAGCUAAGACCCGAUGGUCUACCGAGACUGCAUGGUUUUUGGUAGUAAAUGGGCGGGAUCCUUCGGGAUCGCCUGCUCGCAGAGGUGAUUGCGGCCCAUCAGCUAGUUGGUAGGGUAAUGGCCUACCAAGGCAACGACGGGUAGCCGGCCUAAGAGGGUGGUCGGCCGCACUGGGACUGAGACACUGCCCAGACUCCUACGGGAGGCUGCAGUCGAGAAUCUUCCGCAAUGGGCGAAAGCCUGACGGAGCGACGCCGCGUGGAGGACGAAGGCCUCGGUUGUAACUACUGUCACGAGUUAAGAAGGCGCAUGCGCG